rnacentral:sRNA from 1 species
AUACCUUCGUGAUGUGGUUAUAGUAAUCAAGAUGAGUUGAUUACAAAGGGCAAUAAUGCUAUUGCCCUUAUAUUUUU